CUGCCUGCCACCACAUAAGAUGUGCCUUUGUUCUUCCUUUGCCUCCGGCCAUGAUUUUGAGGACUCCCCAGCCAUGCUGAACUAAACCUGGGUCCCCACCAAAUGGAUCCACUGGCACUGAGACCCCAGGCAAUGGGGAGCUGAGGACUGAGCUCUGACCACUAUUCUUUCUUCUAAAUUACUUCCUGAGGGGCCUGGAUAAAGAAACUCGGACCCCACCAAAUGGAUCUGCUGGCACACAGACCUCAGAUAUGGAGGGACCGAGAGGACUGGAUUCUUGCUGCUGUGAAAGGAAAAUAAAAACUUGGAACCCCAAAUCUCUGUGCCAAAAGGAAAAAAUUAAGCUGAAAGCUGAGUCAUGCAAGAAGCUGCCUUUUCUUUUGCUCCUAAGCAGAGAGCUACAGAUAAAAGGUUAAAUAUCUCCACAGAUAGCUACUCUACGUUCACCUUAUCUUACGUAAAGUGCUGAUUUACUGAGCACCAGACAGACACAUAAUUGACUGUUCCCCUACCUGCUCCUUUUCUCUUGCAACACGUGGAUUCAGUAAUGUGACCAUACCCUCCUUCUUUCCCCUCCAGUCUGCUUUUCCCCUUUUAAAUAUUGAAGCCCUCAAAAUCACCUUUGGAGAAAGGCACAGACUUGUCUCCUGGGUACAUCCUUAACCUUGGCAAAAUAAACUUUUGAAUUAAUUGAGA
ensembl:lncRNA novel transcript, antisense to TMED3